AUUGAACGCUGGCGGAAUGCUUUACACAUGCAAGUCGAGCGGCAGCGCGGGGCAACCUGGCGGCGAGCGGCGAACGGGUGAGUAACACAUCGGAACGUGCCCAGACGUGGGGGAUAGCCCGGCGAAAGCCGGAUUAAUACCGCAUGUGAUCUGAGGAUGAAAGUGGGGGACCGCAAGGCCUCACGCGUUUGGAGCGGCCGAUGGCAGAUUAGGUAGUUGGUGGGGUAAAGGCUUACCAAGCCUGCGAUCUGUAGCUGGUCUGAGAGGAUGAUCAGCCAUACUGGGACUGAGACACGGCCCAGACUCCUACGGGAGGCAGCAGUGGGGAAUUUUGGACAAUGGGCGCAAGCCUGAUCCAGCCAUUCCGCGUGCAGGACGAAGGCCUCGGUUGUAAACUGCUUUGUACGGUAACGAAAGGGCGUCUGGUUAAUACCUGGGCGACUAUGACGGUACCGUAAGAACUAAGACACCGGCGUAACUACGUGCCAGCAGCCGACC
rnacentral:rRNA from 1 species